UACGUAGGUGACAAGCGUUGUCCGGAUUUACUGGGCGUAAAGAGCGCGCAGGCGGUCGAUCAAGUCGAGUGUGAAAGCCCCCGGCUCAACUGGGGAGGGUCAUUCGAUACUGAUCGACUCGAAGGCAGGAGAGGGUAGUGGAAUUCCCGGUGUAGUGGUGAAAUGCGUAGAUAUCGGGAGGAACACCAGCGGCGAAGGCGGCUUUCUGGUCUGCUCUUGACGCUGAGGCGCGAAAGCUAAGGGUAGCAAACGGGG
rnacentral:rRNA from 1 species